GCUGCUGUUGUUGGAUCCAUCACUUUUCUACUCCUGAUUGCUUUAUUUUUGUCUGCCUUCAUCAUUUUUAGAAGAAAGAUGGCUUCAAGGCGAACUUCUGAGACCAAAGAAAGACCAGGAGACGGGACGAAGAGCUCUGGUCAGAAUUCAGGUGGUCAGCUGGAGACUCCGUCAACUGCAGCAGUCGGAAAUUCAACAGAUCAAGAUGACAUCCACUAUGCUAGUGUACAAUUCUCUAAAAAACAAGAGGACCCGGUCUACUCCAACUUUAUGCCAGCCAAACCCAAAACGCAUCAAAAUGAGGAGGACGUAGAGGUGGAGUAUUCAAUGGUCAUGAUAAAGAACACUCCUUGUCUGAGACGUCCUGGUGGUUCUGAGGAUUCAGAUGCACUGUACAGCACAGUCAACAAAUUAUAAACGACAGUCCAUCCGUGACUACUGUUCAAUAUUUCCUCCACUCGUAGAUGUUUCCUAUUCAGUUGAUCAGAAAGCAAAUGUGAAAGUAGAUUAUCCCACGACACACGAGGUAAGACGGUUGCAUCUACACUGCUCCAGUUUACGUACUCUCACCAGAGACUCUGGUUCACUUCGCCAGUACCAGGACAGGGCCCAUUGAACAGAUUUACCUAAAUCAUUUGUGGCAUAACCUUUACAAGGCAUCAGAAUAUUCCUCAGAGAUUCUGAUCCAUGAUGACAUCACACGGUUCCUGCAGAUUGGUUGGUUGUGCAUCCAUGAUGUAAAUCUCUUGUUCUACCAGAGCUGGUGAGGGUGGAGACCAUCAUGGCUAAACCAUUGUCAUGUCUGACAAACCAGUUUAAUUUGAUGAGUGAACUGGUGCAUCAUUGUACUGGAAGUGCCCAUUACAACAUGGGUACACAGUGGUCAUAGAGGGAUGGACAUGGUCGAUAGCAAUACUCAGGUUGUCUGUGAAAGCAGUGCUAAGGGGCCCAAAUGUGUCGAGAGGCUAACAGCUACUCCAUUUCAUCAGCAGCCUCAGCUGUUGAUGUCAGGCAGGAUAGAUCCACGCUUUCAUGUUGUGUACACCGAACUCUGAACCUACCAUCUGAAUGUUACCACUGGAAUUGGACAUCUUUGAACCAGGCAGCAUUUUUCCAAUUUGUUGAAUUUUUGUUUUAAUUUGGUGAUUGUGUACUGUUGAAUUAAAUCCCUAGCCUUAGUUUCCCGUUUUUAGCUGGGGUAGAACCCAGUGUGAUCUUGUACCACGUGCAGAAAUCCUACUCUGCAUACUUUGGUUGUAACAGGUUGUCAGCUACUAUUGCCAUCUAUCGUCUCGAACCAGCCUGCCUUAUCUCCUGUGUUCUCAGAAGUCAACAAUGCAUUUUCAUUCACCCAAAAACUGCUCGCUUGAUCCCCUUUUAAGUUCACCAAGCUGCUGCUGUGUGAUUGGCUAAGUUACUAUUUGUGUUGAGAAAAACAUCUACAGGUGUAUCUAAUACAGAGGCCAGCGAAUGAGACAUGUUACAAACUGCACUGAUUUCUUUCUGUACAGUUUUAUCUUUGUAGCUGUUUAUGUGCAAUGACUUGAUUGUUUUGUUAAGCUGUUUAAUAAAUUCUUUGAUU